GUAUACACCACUGCCUUUCAUUAACCAGGUUACUGUAUACACCACUGCCAUUCAUUAACCAGGUAACUGUAUACACCACUGCCAUUCAUUAACCAGGUAACUGUAUACACCACUGCCUUUCAUUAACCAGGUUACUGUAUACACCACUGCCAUUCAUUAACCAGGUAACUGUAUACACCACUGCCAUUCAUUAACCAGGUAACUGUAUACACCACUGCCAUUCAUUAACCAGGUAACUGUAUACACCACUGCCAUUCAUUAACCAGGUAACUGUAUACACCACUGCCUUUCAUUAACCAGGUUACUGUAUACACCACUGCCAUUCAUUAACCAGGUAACUGUAUACACCACUGCCAUUCAUUAACCAGGUAACUGUAUACACCACUGCCAUUCAUUAACCAGGUAACUAUAUACACCACUGCCUUUCAUUAACCAGGUUACUGUAUACACCACUGCCAUUCAUUAACCAGGUAACUGUAUACACCACUGCCUUUCAUUAACCAGGUUACUAUAUACACCACUGCCUUUCAUUAACCAGGUUACUGUAUACACCACUGCCAUUCAUUAACCAGGUAACUGUAUACACCACUGCCUUUCAUUAACCAGGUUACUGUAUACACCACUGCCAUUCAUUAACCAGGUAACUGUAUACACCACUGCCUUUCAUUAACCAGGUUACUGUAUACACCACUGCCAUUCAUUAACCAGGUAACUGUAUACACCACUGCCAUUCAUUAACCAGGUAACUGUAUACACCACUGCCUUUCAUUAACCAGGUUACUGUAUACACCACUGCCAUUCAUUAACCAGGUAACUGUAUACACCACUGCCAUUCAUCAACCAGGUUACUAUAUACACCACUGCCUUUCAUUAACCAGGUAACUAUAUACACCACUGCCAUUCAUUAACCGGGUAAUUAAAUACACCAUUCAUUAAUCAGAAUGUGAGUUUAAAUUUAUAUAUUAAUGGCAAUAAUUAAUACAUCACAAAAUUUCGGUCUUUCGUGAUCAGUAUAUUAAACUUUGCUUCAUCUAUAUACAACUGCUGUCAAAUUUUUAUGCACCCCACAAAUAACUGUUUGGUCAUGCCUGUCAAGAUGGUCCUUUUGAUAUUGAUAUAGUAAGUUAGAUUACUUUUAAUGGAAUAACUGCCUUUGUUCAAAUCUUGUCAUACUGUUUCAACUCAUCUUCAAGAUCACAGUUCUAGUUAUACCCUACGCAACGAGUUGCGGAGGGUAUAAUGUUUUUGACCUGUCCGUCUAUCUGUCCGUCCGUCCGUCCGUCUGUCUGUCCAUCAGU